GACGAACGCUGGCGGCGUGCCUAAUACAUGCAAGUCGAACGCAGUGGGGACGGGUGAGUAACACGUGGGUAACCUCCCAUCAGAGGGGAUAACACUUUGAAACAGGUGCUAAACCGAUACUGAUGGAUGGCCCCGCGGUGCAUUAGCUAGUUGGUGAGGUAACGCCUCACCAAGGCCACGAUGCAUAGCCGACCUGAGAGGUUGAUCGGACACACGUGGAAUGUGACAGGGACCAAAAUCCGGCGGGAGGCAGCAAUAGGGAAUCUUCGGCAAGGGACGAAAGUCUAACCGAGCAAAGCCGCGUGAGUGAAGAAGGUGGUCGGAUCGUAAAACUCUGUUGUUAGAGAAGCGGUAUCUAACCAGAAAGCCACGUCUAACUACGUGCCAGCAGCCGCGGUAAUAC
rnacentral:rRNA from 1 species